UUUCAUUUUAGAAGCUGAAUUUCCAGAUUAUUAAAAAUCUACCUAUGAACUCACAAGUGUAGGUAGUGUGCUACAUGAGGGGCAAGUUUUUCGCUAACAUCACAACGGUCUCUGGCCCAAUGAGUAGAGUUUGAUAGUAAUACUUGCUACAAAU